GAUGAACGCUGGCGGCGUGCUUAACACAUGCAAGUCGAACGGAAAGGCCCAAGCUUUCUUGGGUACUCGAUUGGCGAACGGGUGAGUAACACGUGGGGGAUCUCCCCUUCACUUCGGGAGAAGCCUGGGAAACUGGGUCUAAUACCGGAUAGGACGAUUGUUUCGAUGCGAUUGUGGAAAGUUUUUUCGGUUUGGUAUGAGCUCUCGGCCCAUCAGCUUGUUGGUGGGGUAAUGGCCUACCAAGGCGUCGACGCGUAGCCGGCCGGCGAGGGGUAACGGCCCUGAGAGGACGUACAGCCGCACCAGGCUCCAACUGGGGGCAGGAGUACUGAAGGAGGCAGAAGGGGGGAAUACCGGACAAUGCGAGGAAGCGUGAUGGAGGGACGCCGCGUGGGCGAUGACGGCCUUUGGGUUGUAAGAUCCUUUCGCUAGGGACGAAGCGUUUUUGUGACGGUACCUGGAGAAGAAGCAACGGCUAACUACGUG
rnacentral:rRNA from 1 species